rnacentral:misc_RNA from 1 species
GUGAAUCAUCAAAUUUUUGAACGCACAUUGCACUCUCUGGUAUUCCGGAGAGGAUGCCUGUUUGAGGGUAAUGAAAAAGAAUCUUUAAUCAAUUUUUUUUGGUCAAAGGAAAUGAGUUCUCCGAGUUCAUAGUGGUAGCUAGAAAUAAAUGGUCAAGUUUAAUUUUAGUCGAGACGCGUAAUAAUAUUAUUUCGCGAAAUCUUCAUUAUGCGAAUAUCAAGUUU